UGUGCAUUGGCUCAGUCUGUAUUGUGAUGUUCGGGAAAAUACAGUAAUACUGGUAAGAUACUGUAAGGACCAGGAUGCUGAAGAUUGUUCUCAUGAAAUUUGCUUACCUUCUGACUGUCAGUUUACCGGCAGCCGCAGAUGUUUCCCACAGUGAGACCACAGUAUCUGGGUAUGAAUUCAGCUCUCCUGCCAGCACACCGCUGCCUCUCACUGUCACAGCUUCAGAAGCUUCAGUAUCUGGACGUAAAUUCAGCUCUCCUGCCAGCACACUGCCACCUCUCACUGUCAUAGGUUUCCAGAUCAGACUUGUCAGUGGGAAUGGAAGGUGCUCUGGAAGAGUGGAGGUCUAUCACAGUGGCCAGUGGGGAACCGUGUGUGAUGAUGACUGGGAUAUGAAUGAUGCUGCAGUGGUCUGCAGGGAGCUGGGCUGUGGCACAGCUGUGUGUGCUCCAGGUAGAGCCCGGUUUGGCCAGGGGACUGAAGGAAUUUGGAUGGAUGGUGUUGGCUGUACAGGCAGUGAAUCUUCACUCUCACAGUGCUCACACAGACGGUUUGGAAUUCACAACUGUGGUCAUGGAGAGGAUGCAGGUGUUGUCUGCUCAGCCGCAGAUGUUUCCCACCAGGGGGACUGUGUGUAUGAGACCACAGUAUCUGGAUAUGAAUUCAGCUCUCCUGCCAGCACACCGCUGCCUCUCACUGUCACAGCUUCAGAAGCUUCAGUAUCUGGACGUAAAUUCAGCUCUCCUGCCAGCACACUGCCACCUCUCACUGUCAUAGGUUUCCAGAUCAGACUUGUCAGUGGGAAUGGAAGGUGCUCUGGAAGAGUGGAGGUCUAUCACAGUGGCCAGUGGGGAACCGUGUGUGAUGAUGACUGGGAUAUGAAUGAUGCUGCAGUGGUCUGCAGGGAGCUGGGCUGUGGCACAGCUGUGUGUGCUCCAGGUAGAGCCCGGUUUGGCCAGGGGACUGAAGGAAUUUGGAUGGAUGGUGUUGGCUGUACAGGCAGUGAAUCUUCACUCUCACAGUGCUCACACAGACGGUUUGGAAUUCACAACUGUGGUCAUGGAGAGGAUGCAGGUGUUGUCUGCUCAGCCGCAGAUGUUUCCCACCAGGGGGACUGUGUGUAUGAGACCACAGUAUCUGGAUAUGAAUUCAGCUCUCCUGCCAGCACACCGCUGCCUCUCACUGUCACAGCUUCAGAAGCUUCAGUAUCUGGACGUGAAUUCAGCUCUCCUGCCAGCACACUGCCACCUCUCACUGUCAUAGCCUCCCUGUCCCUCGCAAACAAGUUAAGAUUGUCAGCAGUUUUGCUGCUUCCGGUACUGCUGCCAAUUAUCCUCUUCCUGGCGUUUCGAAAGAGAAGACACAGCCCUGAAGAAUGUGAGCAGAACAUCUGAAGACAGUCAGCAAAGAAUAUUAGUGCCUCAAAACAGAGGAACACAUACAGUAGUCUGGCUCCAACGAGAAUGAGCACAUCCAAUCAGAGAUUGAGCAAGCAGUGAAAGAGACUGAGUAAGCACGAGACCGGCUAGUGAUUCGCCCCAACUGGCAUCGGAUAAGCAGGGAAGACAUGAGUGAUCAGUUAUGGCUGACCCUGAAAAAAAGCCAGAUGAAAACAAGCAUAGAAGAAGCUGAAGAAGCUGUUGUCCAAUGCUGGCAAAUAGUAAAUGUUUACUGUUUUAAUAUCGGCAAAUAGUAAAUGUUUACUGUUAAUAUAAGCUUGCAGUGAACCAGAAAAUGAUAGAGUAAUGUUUGGAUGAGUGUAUUGUGUUCAUGAAUUAUACUGCUUCUUUUCAGCUCUGACUGGUUAUCAUUUGGUCUUGCAUUAAAUUAAGUCAAUAAAGCCAUUUUUCCCUGA